GCUCAGGACGAACGCUGGCGGCGUGCCUAAUACAUGCAAGUCGAGCGGACCGACGGGAGCUUGCUCCCUUAGGUCAGCGGCGGACGGGUGAGUAACACGUGGGUAACCUGCCUGUAAGACUGGGAUAACUCCGGGAAACCGGGGCUAAUACCGGAUGCUUGAUUGAACCGCAUGGUUCAAUCAUAAAAGGUGGCUUUUAGCUACCACUUACAGAUGGACCCGCGGCGCAUUAGCUAGUUGGUGAGGUAACGGCUCACCAAGGCGACGAUGCGUAGCCGACCUGAGAGGGUGAUCGGCCACACUGGGACUGAGACACGGCCCAGACUCCUACGGGAGGCAGCAGUAGGGAAUCUUCCGCAAUGGACGAAAGUCUGACGGAGCAACGCCGCGUGAGUGAUGAAGGUUUUCGGAUCGUAAAACUCUGUUGUUAGGGAAGAACAAGUACCGUUCGAAUAGGGCGGCACCUUGACGGUACCUAACCAGAAAGCCACGGCUAACUACGUGCCAGCAGCCGCGGUAAUACGUAGGUGGCAAGCGUUGUCCGGAAUUAUUGGGCGUAAAGCGCGCGCAGGCGGUUUCUUAAGUCUGAUGUGAAAGCCCCCGGCUCAACCGGGGAGGGUCAUUGGAAACUGGGGAACUUGAGUGCAGAAGAGGAGAGUGGAAUUCCACGUGUAGCGGUGAAAUGCGUAGAGAUGUGGAGGAACACCAGUGGCGAAGGCGACUCUCUGGUCUGUAAACUGACGCUGAGGCGCGAAAGCGUGGGGAGCGAACAGGAUUAGAUACCCUGGUAGUCCACGCCGUAAACGAUGAGUGCUAAGUGUUAGAGGGUUUCCGCCCUUUAGUGCUGCAGCAAACGCAUUAAGCACUCCGCCUGGGGAGUACGGUCGCAAGACUGAAACUCAAAGGAAUUGACGGGGGCCCGCACAAGCGGUGGAGCAUGUGGUUUAAUUCGAAGCAACGCGAAGAACCUUACCAGGUCUUGACAUCCUCUGACAACCCUAGAGAUAGGGCUUCCCCUUCGGGGGCAGAGUGACAGGUGGUGCAUGGUUGUCGUCAGCUCGUGUCGUGAGAUGUUGGGUUAAGUCCCGCAACGAGCGCAACCCUUGAUCUUAGUUGCCAGCAUUCAGUUGGGCACUCUAAGGUGACUGCCGGUGACAAACCGGAGGAAGGUGGGGAUGACGUCAAAUCAUCAUGCCCCUUAUGACCUGGGCUACACACGUGCUACAAUGGGCAGAACAAAGGGCAGCGAAGCCGCGAGGCUAAGCCAAUCCCACAAAUCUGUUCUCAGUUCGGAUCGCAGUCUGCAACUCGACUGCGUGAAGCUGGAAUCGCUAGUAAUCGCGGAUCAGCAUGCCGCGGUGGAAUACGUUCCCGGGCCUUGUACACACCGCCCGUCACACCACGAGAGUUUGUAACACCCGAAGUCGGUGAGGUAACCUUUUGGAGCCAGCCGCCGAAGGUGGGACAGAUGAUUGGG
rnacentral:rRNA from 1 species